UGGGGAAUAUUGGACAAUGGGCGAAAGCCUGAUCCAGCCAUGCCGCGUGUGUGAAGAAGGUCUUCGGAUUGUAAAGCACUUUAAGUUGGGAGGAAGGGCAUUAACCUAAUACGUUAGUGUUUUGACGUUACCGACAGAAUAAGCACCGGCUAACUCUGUGCCAGCAGCCGCGGUAAUACAGAGGGUGACAGCGUUAAUCGGAAUUACUGGGCGUAAAGCGCGCGUAGGUGGUUUGUUAAGUUGGAUGUGAAAUCCCCGGGCUCAACCUGGGAACUGCAUUCAAAACUGACUGACUAGAGUAUGGUAGAGGGUGGUGGAAUUUCCUGUGUAGCGGUGAAAUGCGUAGAUAUAGGAAGGAACACCAGUGGCGAAGGCGACCACCUGGACUAAUACUGACACUGAGGUGCGAAAGCGUGGGGAGCAAACA
rnacentral:rRNA from 1 species